UACGGAGGAUGCGAGCGUUAUCCGGAUUUAUUGGGUUUAAAGGGUGCGUAGGCGGGUUAUCAAGUCAGCGGUAAAAUCGUGGAGCUCAACUCCAUCCAGCCGUUGAAACUGAUGAUCUUGAGUGGGCGAGAAGUAUGCGGAAUGCGUGGUGUAGCGGUGAAAUGCAUAGAUAUCACGCAGAACCCCGAUUGCGAAGGCAGCAUACCGGCGCUCAACUGACGCUGAGGCACGAAAGCGUGGGGAGCAAAUAGG
rnacentral:rRNA from 1 species